ACACUUACCUGGCAGGGGAGAUACCAUAAUCACGAAGGUGGUUUUCCCAGGACGGGGCUUAUCCAUUGCAUUCCGGAUGUUCUGACCACUGCAAUUUCCUCAAAUGUGGGAAACAACUGCGUAAUUAGUGGUGUGGGGGGGACUGCGUUUGCACUCUCCCCUG